rnacentral:rRNA from 1 species
CCAGACUCCUACGGGAGGCAGCAGUGGGGAAUAUUGCACAAUGGGGGAAACCCUGAUGCAGCAACGCCGCGUGAGUGAAGAAGUAUUUCGGUAUGUAAAGCUCUAUCAGCAGGGAAGAAAAUGACGGUACCUGACUAAGAAGCCCCGGCUAACUACGUGCCAGCAGCCGCGGUAAUACGUAGGGGGCAAGCGUUAUCCGGAUUUACUGGGUGUAAAGGGAGCGUAGACGGCAGAGCAAGUCUGAAGUGAAAGCCCGUGGCCCAACUGCGGGACUGCUUUGGAAACUGCCCGGCUAGAGUGCUGGAGAGGUAAGCGGAAUUCCUAGUGUAGCGGUGAAAUGCGUAGAUAUUAGGAGGAACACCAGUGGCGAAGGCGGCUUACUGGACAGUAACUGACGUUGAGGCUCGAAAGCGUGGGGAGCAAACAGGAUUAGAUACCCUGGUACUC